UACGGAGGAGGCAAGCGUUAUCCGGAAUUAUUGGGCGUAAAGCGUCCGUAGAUGGUUUUGUCAGUCUGCUGUCAAAGCACAGGGCUUAACCCUGUAAAGGCAGUGGAAACUACAAGACUAGAGUGCGGUAGGGGCAGAGGGAAUUCCCAGUGUAGCGGUGAAAUGCGUAGAUAUCGGGAGGAACACCUGUGGCGAAAGCGGCUCACUGGACCACAACUGACGCUGAUGCGCGAAAGCUAGGGGAGCAAACAGG
rnacentral:rRNA from 1 species